rnacentral:rRNA from 1 species
GAGUUUGAUCCUGGCUCAGGACGAACGCUGGCGGCACGCCUAACACAUGCAAGUCGAACGGAGAUAUUUUGGUUUACUGAGAUAUCUUAGUGGCGGACGGGUGAGUAACACGUGAGCAACCUGCCUCUGAGAGAGGGAUAGCUUCUGGAAACGGAUGGUAAUACCUCAUAACAUAACGAAGCCGCAUGACUUUGUUAUCAAAGAUUUAUCACUCAGAGAUGGGCUCGCGUCUGAUUAGAUAGUUGGUGAGGUAACGGCCCACCAAGUCGACGAUCAGUAGCCGGACUGAGAGGUUGAACGGCCACAUUGGGACUGAGACACGGCCCAGACUCCUACGGGAGGCAGCAGUGGGGAAUAUUGCACAAUGGGGGAAACCCUGAUGCAGCGAUGCCGCGUGGAGGAAGAAGGUUUUCGGAUUGUAAACUCCUGUCUUAAAGGACGAUAAUGACGGUACUUUAGGAGGAAGCUCCKGCUAACUACRUGCCAKCAUCCGCGGUA